AUUAGCUAGUUGGUGAGGUAAUGGCUCACCAAGGCGACGAUCCCUAGCUGGUCUGAGAGGAUGAUCAGCCACACUGGAACUGAGACACGGUCCAGACUCCUACGGGAGGCAGCAGUGGGGAAUAUUGCACAAUGGGCGCAAGCCUGAUGCAGCCAUGCCGCGUGUGUGAAGAAGGCCUUCGGGUUGUAAAGCACUUUCAGCAGUGAGGAAGGCGGGUACGUUAAUAGCUGUGUUGUUUGACGUUAGCUGCAGAAGAAGCACCGGCUAACUCCGUGCCAGCAGCCGCGGUAAUACGGAGGGUGCGAGCGUUAAUCGGAAUUACUGGGCGUAAAGCGCAUGCAGGUGGUUCGUUAAGUCAGAUGUGAAAGCCCGGGGCUCAACCUCGGAACUGCAUUUGAAACUGGCGGACUAGAGUACUGUAGAGGGGGGUAGAAUUUCAGGUGUAGCGGUGAAAUGCGUAGAGAUCUGAAGGAAUACCGGUGGCGAAGGCGGCCCCCUGGACAGAUACUGACACUCAGAUGCGAAAGCGUGGGGAGCAAACAGGAUUAGAUACCC
rnacentral:rRNA from 1 species